GUUGCCGGGCCGGAUGGCGAGAACGCCGCCAACCCCGUCAGGUUCGAAAGAAAGCAGCGGUAACGGUUUGUUCUCGGGUGUCCGGCCCAUCGCACUUUU
rnacentral:SRP_RNA from 1 species